UACAGAGGGUGCAAGCGUUGUCCGGAUUUAUUGGGUUUAAAGGGUGCGUAGGCGGCCCAUUAAGUCAGCGGUGAAAGCCCGGGGCUCAACCCCGGAACCGCCGUUGAUACUGGUGGGCUUGAGUAUGGACGAGGUUGGCGGAAUUGAGGGUGUAGCGGUGAAAUGCUUAGAUACCCUCAAGAACACCGAUUGCGUAGGCAGCUAACUAGGCCAUAACUGACGCUGAGGCACGAAAGCGUGGGGAGCGAACAGG
rnacentral:rRNA from 1 species